AAGGCAACUAACAUAUACAUUGAUCAGUUUUAAGCACUGCUGUGAGAAUAUGUAUUGAACAUAAGCUGAAAUACAGGAAGAAAUGAACAGUGGAAAACAGAAAUUCAAAAGAAACAGACAGAUAAAAAUAUACAAAAUUCCAAGUAAAUGUAAGAAAACCUUUUUUUACAGUGAGGUGAUUAAGCAUCAAAAUAAGUUGCCCAGAUAGGUUGUAGAGUCUCCAUUCUUGAAGAUAUUCAAGACCCAGCUGGCCACAGCUAUGAGGACCCUCCUUUGAGCAUGGGGAUCACACCAGAGAGUCUCCAGAGCCACCUUCCCACCUCAGCCAAUGCAUACGUCUGUGAAUAAAGCUGGCGCUUCCCUCUGAAAGACUGAAAGCUCGUAAGGAAAAAAGAAAAAUGAAAAAGAGGGGAAUGAACACCAGCUUAAGGAUGCCUAUCUGACUUAGAUGCAAGGUAAGACAGUAAUGAGUUGCCUGCAUUUUGUCAGAAUUUGGAUGUGCUGGACAAGCCCCACAUCAGAACUUCAGGUUCAGUAGCACUGUCAGAAGUGCUUACAGGUUUAGAAGCCAAGUAAGACAACACCAUGAGUCUGUGCCUAGAGUUCAACUGAGAAUCGGCUUGGUUCUCCCUUUUGAUUUAUCAGCUUGUUAGCGUUUCUUUCUCCCAGCUUUUACAUAACAAUAUACCUUGAGGAACAAGGCAAGAAGCUCAUCUUUCCACACUGGCAGACCGAGGUCUUAAGUGAAACCAAAAUGACAGGAAGGCUACCUGGACUUGUACAUAAAACGUGUGGCUAAAAUCCUGGAUCCAUUCAUAUUGGAAGGUAGAUUACUGUAGAGAAUUUCUGCUUUACAAAGGCAUAGUAAACAAGCUGGUUUAAUACGGGGCAGGGAGAAACUUCAUAUGAACAUAGGUAUACAUAGAGCAAUCAACUCAUAUCUGUCAUCCUAAAAUUAAGUUUUAAUAGAUUUAUAUAAAUAAAAAAAUAAGAGCAGCCGUGAUUGCUUUUACUUCCACAGUGAAAGUUUCUGAGGUUUUCCCUAUAUCUCCAGCUUUCAGUAAGCUAACUCACUUGUAACAGUUUUAUAGCCGUAUUCAGUUUUGUCAGUGUUCUGGGGAAAACUGGCUCUCCACUAAGUCACUGUAGACAAUCCAAGGUCCUCUUCUACGUCAGGCAUACCUAACAGAUACCUGACGGCAGGCACUGCACACCUACUACACGCACAAGCCAUACAAAGAAAAGCACUAUAGGCCAUGUUAGCUCCAAUACAUGAAUGGCACACAGUAGAAGUGUCUGGUUAAAAUUAAGAAAAUUCAAUUUCUGUAAAGUUUUACUCUACCUGCUUCUCACAGCAUCUACAGCCGCCAGAAGCUUUCUUCAUACUGCUUUCGACAUCUAGAGCCCUUUUGGGAUAGGAUCUCUCUUUUUUAGUCACACUCCCCCGGCAGAGAGGACAAUGCGUUCCACUUUCCCGCAUAGCUGUCAAGAAGCACUUCCUGCAAAAUCUAAAUUAAAAAGUUACCAAGCAGGUUAGUAGAGUGAAGAAAGUUAGAUACUUUGUCCCUGAAAAGGGAUGAGUGAUUACCAGCACAAAAGGGAUACGUCAGAGUUAACUCCCUACUGAACAAAAGAUCUUUACAAGAUAAACAUCGGGAAAAUGAAAUAACAGUGCUUAAAAAGAAGUAUAUGGAAAUUAGGGCAAUUUUUGGUAAAGAUUGACUAUUUUCUGCCUACUGUUCCUGAGCAGGACCCUGGAUUGAUCAUUAAUGAGAUAUUAAAUGGUGCAGUAGACACGUGGUACUGGAAAUCUUAUCAGAGUAACUUCUGUUUAUCGUCCUUCAGUGGAGCCAAGAAUACUGCAAAGCUGCAUUCCUGCCGUUUUCCCGAAGGUUUCACUUCAUUAGCUUUCCCGGAUCUGCUCUGACCUCUUUUCCUCCAAGCAAUGGAUCAACCAUCCAAGCUAUUUUGCAUUUCUACCAGCCAGUACUCAGUGAUUACAUGUCCCUAAAAGCAUGCACAGCUUUCCACUACGAAUGCAUGAACUGAAAGAGACAACUCCGCUACGAUCGCUUUGAAAACGAGCAGGAAGCUAUAAAUAAAGCUAAAAAUGCAAUUUCA